rnacentral:rRNA from 1 species
CUACGGGUGGCUCCAGGCGCGGAACCUUUACAAUGCACGCAAGUGUGAUAAGGGGAUCCCAAGUGCUAUACUUUUAGUAUGGCUUUUGCCAAGAGUAAAUAUCUUGGCGAAUAAGUGGUGGGUAAGACUUGUGCCAGCCGCCGCGGUAACACCAGCGCCACAAGUGGCAAUCGCUUUUAUUGGGCCUAAAGCGUCCGUAGCCGGUUUUGUAAAUUUCCUGUGAAAUCGUUGUGCUCAACAUAACGACGCGCAGGAAAGACUGCAAAACUAGGGACCGGGAGGCGUCAGAGGUAUUCUGGAGGGAGCGGUAAAAUGCUAUAAUCUCCAGAGGACCCCCUGUGGCGAAGGCGUCUGACGAGAACGGAUCCGACGGUGAGGGACGAAAGCCAGGGGAGCGAACCGGAUUAGAUACCCCUGUAGUC